rnacentral:rRNA from 1 species
AACGAACGCUGGCGGCAUGCCUAACACAUGCAAGUCGAACGAAGGCUUCGGCCUUAGUGGCGCACGGGUGCGUAACGCGUGGGAAUCUGCCCUUUGGUUCGGAAUAACAGCUGGAAACGGCUGCUAAUACCGGAUGAUGACGAAAGUCCAAAGAUUUAUCGCCAGAGGAUGAGCCCGCGUUGGAUUAGGUAGUUGGUGGGGUAAAGGCCUACCAAGCCGACGAUCCAUAGCUGGUCUGAGAGGAUGAUCAGCCACACUGGGACUGAGACACGGCCCAGACUCCUGCGGGAGGCAGCAGUGGGGAAUAUUGGACAAUGGGCGCAAGCCUGAUCCAGCAAGGCCGCGUGGGCGAUGAAGGCCCUAGGGUUGUAAGGCUCUUUUACCCGGGAAGAUAAUGACUGUACCGGGAGAAUAAGCCCCGGCUAACUCCGUG